AUGGAGAAGGCGACAUGGAGCGUAACGUGCAGGGAGAAGGCAGAGGUGAAGGCCCGGGUGGGGGCCGCUAUGGAGACGCUAGAAGGAGCUUUGAGAGAGUGCUCCAAGCCCUCCUAUGGAGGCGAUAGCCCCGGAUAUGUGGAUGUGGUGCUCGGUGGCCUUCUUCCAUGGCUGUGCGUCACCGAUAAGAGACAACCCAGCGUGAAGACCUUCGACCCUAUCACCACGCCGCUCCUACUAGUGUGGCAGGACCGCUUCUGUUCGUUGAAAAAGGUUCAGGGACUCAUGCUAGAUGUGGGCGAGCUGGUCGACUUAGCCAUGCAGAUGCCUACUCACUGCUCGCGUGAAUCCCUGCAAGUUAUUUUAAUUUUGUCUUCACUUCUUUGGCAAAUUGCGACUUCAUGUAGUAGUUGA
rnacentral:rRNA from 1 species